rnacentral:rRNA from 1 species
GAUGAACGCUGGCGGCGUGCCUAAUACAUGCAAGUCGAGCGAACAGAUGAGGAGCUUGCUCCUCUGACGUUAGCGGCGGACGGGUGAGUAACACGUGGAUAACCUACCUAUAAGACUGGGAUAACUUCGGGAAACCGGAGCUAAUACCGGAUAAUAUAUUGAACCGCAUGGUUCAAUAGUGAAAGACGGUUUUGCUGUCACUUAUAGAUGGAUCCGCGCCGCAUUAGCUAGUUGGUAAGGUAACGGCUUACCAAGGCAACGAUGCGUAGCCGACCUGAGAGGGGGAUCGGCCACCCUGGAACUGAGACACGGUCCAGACUCCUACGGGAGGCAGCAGUAGGGAAUCUUCCGCAAUGGGCGAAAGCCUGACGGAGCAACGCCGCGUGAGUGAUGAAGGUCUUCGGAUCGUAAAACUCUGUUAUUAGGGAAGAACAAAUGUGUAAGUAACUAUGCACGUCUUGACGGUACCUAAUCAGAAAGCCACGGCUAACUACGUG